UCUCAAACCCUAGCCUCAACACUCUCUUCUAAGCUGUGUCACUGCCGCCUUCCUAGCGCCGCCGUCGAAUGUGGUCCAGUCGUCGUCCCUACUGUUUCAGCGUCGUCGUAGCUCAUCUCUGCCGUCGCGUCGCGCCGCAUCUGCUCCAUCCUCCUCUGGUCGAACAAUCACAGCUUAUUCCUCAAGCCGGUCUCAGUCUUCGUCUUUGUCUGCUUCGUCGCGCUACUGCCGCCGUCCGUCAUCGUCGUAGUCAUCGUUAAGUGACGAGACACACACACAGAGAGAGAGAGAGAGAGAGAGAGAGAGAGAGAGAGAGAGAGAAUGCGCUGCGAAGGGGAAAGAAGGGGUGAGGUCGCGGGAGGAGGCGCACAAAUGUGCAACUCUGGUUUUCCCUUUUUUCUGGGGUUUGAAGUGGAAGUGGGAGUUCGGGUGAUUUGGAUUAUACCCGAGAGAAGGGGCUGGUUGAUGCAGCUUUUUCUUAAAUAAUUAAAAGUUCAUUUAUGCUCAACUUUGAAGAUGCUGCCUGAUCAGAGAAAAAAGCCUAAACCCCUAAAGAAUUUGAAUGGAUCAAUCUGUCAAAUUUGUGGUGAAACUGUUGGAUUAACAGACAGCGGCGAUGUCCUUGUUGCUUGCAAUGAGUGUGCAUUUCCAGUUUGUCGUCCUUGUUAUGAAUACGAGCAAAAGGAUAUACCAGUGUUGCCUCCAGUGCAAGACUAGAUACAAAGGUGUAAAGGGAGUCCUCGAGUGGAUGAUGUGGAUGAUGUUGAUGAUUUGGCGAAUGAGUUAAGUUAUGGCCAAGGAAAGGCCAAGGCACGGCCGCAGUGGGAUGAAGAUGCUGACAUCUCUUCCUCUUCAAGACAUGAACAACCAAUUCCACUUUUGACUCAUCGACACCAAAUUUCUAGGGAGACUGCUACACCUGAUACGUAAUCAGGUCGAACUACAUCAGGCCCUUUAGGUCCAUCUGACAAGGUUCACUCACUUCCAUAUGUUGAUCAAAUGCAACCAGCUCCAGUAAGAAUUGUAGAUCCAUCAAAGGACUUAAAUUCUCAUGGUCUUGGAAAUGUUGACUGGAAAGAAAGGGUUGAAAGUUGGAAACUCAAGCAGGAGAAGAAUGUGGUGCAUGUGAAUGGUAGUAGAUAUAAUGAGGGGAAAGGUGAUAUUGAAGGAACUGGUUCCAAUGGAGAAGAACUUCAAAAUGGUGACUUUGUCUUGGAAUUGGAAAACUAAAGAUAUGGACACAGUAAUUUUAAUAUUUAGCGAGAAAUAUGUUACUUUUAAUAAAUGAUAUUCUUAUAGUAGACCAGUAGUCUAUAAACAUAGCAUUCUGCAUUAACUCAGAAUUUGAGACCGUAGUUAAUUUUAUGGCUUGAAAUCGUAAUUUUGAAAUUAUAGAGACUUUGAGAUUACAAAGACGAUUAAUCGUUGUUCCAAGAUUUUCUUUCAGUAGUCUA